GGCUAAACGCGAAGAACCUUACCUGGCCUUGACAUGUCUGGAAUCCCGAAGAGAUUUGGGAGUGCCGCAAGGAGCCAGAACACAGGUGCUGCAUGGCUGUCGUCAGCUCGUGUCGUGAGAUGUUGGGUUAAGUCCCGCAACGAGCGCAACCCUUGUCCUUAGUUGCCAUCAUUAAGUUGGGAACUCUAAGGAGACCGCCGGUGACAAACCGGAGGAAGGUGGGGAUGACGUCAAGUCAUCAUGGCCUUUAUGGCCAGGGCUACACACGUGCUACAAUGGCAGGUACAGAGGGAAGCCAACCGGCGACGGGGAGCUAAUCCCAGAAAGCCUGUCUUAGUCCGGAUUGCAGUCUGCAACUCGACUGCAUGAAGUUGGAAUCGCUAGUAAUCGCAGAUCAGCAUUGCUGCGGUGAAUACGUUCCCGGGUCUUGUACACACCG
rnacentral:rRNA from 1 species